rnacentral:lncRNA from 1 species
UACCCGCAUCGUAACAUAUUCACCAUUAAUAUUUUUGGAGCUUGAAUGUGUGGGUCGAAUUAAAUGAACGUAGGAUUGGAGAUCCUUAGGGGGAAUGGGAUGGGUUAAAAUUAAAAUUUUGUGCCUUAUAUCCUUUGUUUUAAAAAAACCAUGAACCAGGCCAUGUUACAACAUGAAAAAGACCUAAUUGAAGCAAAGUUUAUUUUGAAAUCGUACUACAACAAGGUUGCGUUAACCUGACUCCUAGAUAUUUGUUAAUAAUUUGUGUUGGUAUCAAGUUCCCGCAUCAUCUUUCACUCUUUGAAUAAACCAAUGAUCCAUUCACUGUACAUCACAUCAUUUCAAUAAUGACGUUGAUUUCAAAACUUGCAUAAGAGUUGCAUUAAAA